rnacentral:lncRNA from 1 species
AUGCCGUGUCCUUCAAGAAGCCAGCUGGCUGCUUCUGAGGCCCACUUUACUUUACUUUGUGUUCUCAGGGAUGUGCCGGCUGGGAGCCACGUACAGGCAAGCGCAAGCACAGAAAUGGCUCCCCAGCAUAAGCCUACUGCCUUGGGACCUGCCUGGGAUGGCCGGGAACCUUCUACAUACAGUGCAUUAGUUAAACCACAAUGGCCUGUUGAAAUGAAUGAGUUACUCCCACAAGAGAAAGUAAAUUUUAUCCCUCCCUGAACUUGAUUGUGGAACAAAAUGGUAAACAACUGCUUACUGCCACGAAUCAUAUUGACUGCAUCUCACAGCAGACUGAAGGCCGGAUUGAAAUUUGUACCGACUUCUCUGAGGUUAUCGGGAGCAGAGAAAGGCCAUCAGACAUCCUGUAGCAGCAGCUGAGCCGGAGCUGGUAAUAUCCUUGCCUGUCAUGGCUUUACUGAUGGAUAUAAAGGAGGAAAGGUUCUAGAGAUCUCCUUCAAAGAGCUUACAAAAUUUAGCAAGCAACUGCACUGCUGGCUAGAGCCUUGUUGUCCAGAAGUACUUUAAGGCCUCAUCCUGUGCGUUUUCAGGGCGCGUUAAAUAUCAUAUUAAAAUGCACUCCCCCCCCCACACACACACACGAUGUGAUAAGUGACCCUGCAGGGCCUUAGUCUGCAACCAGUGCCAUCACCUUGCACAAACACAUUGUCUUGCUCACCCAGUCUCGGAAGGGAGGCUGCAUGGAAACAGAUACAAGAACAUGAAAGGCAAGAAAAGAAGCACAGCGUUGGAUUUAACAUUUUAAAUUAGCUGGAGAAGAAAGAAAGAAAGAAUGGCAACACAAUUCCAGAAUGAGCUAAAAAUAAACCAAAAGGUUUAUUUUUAGAUGUGCCA